GAGCUAGCUACAUAAUUUGUGAGGCUCAGUGCAAAAUGAAAAUGUGGAGCCUCAGGGUUAAAAAGCAAGAAAAAAAGUGCUCUUAUAGAUAAAGCUUUUUUCUUUCUUCUGCAGUCUCUCUCCCAGCUUGUCAUGGUGUUUUUCAUUUGUUAUUUAAUGUCAUUCUAAGAAAAAUUAAAGUUUUGAAUUAUUAGCAUGAAUUUUAAUUUAUCUUUACAUCGUGCAGGGCAAAUAUAAACGCAAAUAUAAAAGCACUUGAUGUGUAUGUGGAAUUACUGAACUUAUACAAUUUGCAUUUUGUAGCCCCUCCCCAAAAGGUGCCUUGAGCUGUCCAGAAGAGACAAACCGAAGCCCUGCACUGGAAGGGAGGAAAAGAGAGAGGAACCCCUCCCCCCAGCAAGGAGCGGAGUUAGCUGAAAACUGCACCGAUCCCCUCUUGGGCUCUUCCUUGGCUGCUGCCCCUUCGGCGCAACUGCCCUUCCUCUUGGGCUUCGGCAGUGGGAAGAGAGCGAGCCGGGUGCUUUUGAGCUGCAGUGCGCGGAGAGGCUUCGCGAGGCUGGGCUCAGUAUUCGUUAAUGAUCAAACAAUUAUUUAUGUUGACAGCCCACAUCUCCCUUUCCGUAGUUUCCAUCUGAAGACUUAGCUCUACCCUUCUGGUGCAGAACAGGAAAGCCUAAUCUGUCUUCCCUGAGAUUCAAGAAAUUCAAGAGGCUGCUCCUCCUGGGGCCUCUGUCGGUAUCCUCCUUGUUGCUCCUAGUUAAACUCUUAUUCCUCAGGUAAGAUGGUGCUGAGUCUACUCACCAUCGGACUGUGGUGUCUAGUAUUGGACACCACAUCCCUGAUGUGCCCUGACACCUCAGUGCUCUCCCACAUAGAACCUAGUGGGCACUGUGUCCCCGCAUCUAUCUGAAGAACUGCUCAAGAGGCUUUGUGGGAGGUCUAGCUCCUCCUCACCCCCUCCAGGCUUGACAUGCCUCCACCCCCACCACCCCGUACCCUUCGCAGCAUACUUCCAGUCAGGCAGCAAUCAGCUUGCACCUGAGAGGGAUCAGCUGUGGUGACUGAGGCUGGCUUGCUCUUGCAGCCCCAGGAACACAGAGAUUCGUGCUGAAGAACCAAAUGGUUUCUACAGUACAAGCAGGCGCCAGGGACUCCGCAGGAGGCAUCACUGGCACCUUCUAAUUGAUGAGCAGUCCAGCUCUGAAGCUGUGGGCUCUAAAGCCAGAUACCUCCUCCAGGUGACUCUGAUCUUCCUCUCCCAGCUGAAUAGAGUGAACUUCAGCGUUUCUGGCCUCCAGUUCCUGAACUCUGCUUCUUCCAAGGCAGUUUUAGCUUAGGCAUCGCCUUCUCCGGGAAGCUCUUCCUGACCCCCAUUGCUACCCACAGUGAGUCACUUGCUCUCUGUUCCUCACUUCCACGAUGUUUCCUCCUGUCUCCAUCAUUCUACUCAUUAGCCCAGGUGGCAAUUAUUUGUUGUGGUGUUUGUUGUAGACAAAGACAGUCUUGUUUUUUUGGUUUUGGCAUUUUGCUACUAAAUGUGUUUUUGAUAAAUGAAUAAAUAUAAUAACACCACAAUAGCAGCUAAAAAUUAUUUAUUGACCAUUCACUAUGCAAAUGCACAUGCAUUUUCUUAAGUAUUCCAAUAACACAGUGCCAUGGUUAUUAUCUCAGUUUUACAGAUGUAGAAACAGGCUCACGUGAAUUAUGUAACUUGUUCAAGGCCAUAAUAGCAGUUUGUGGUGAGUCUGGGACUUAAACCUAGGUCUUUUAAAAAAAUUAUUAUUCCAAAGUCUUGUUUUAAACUUUGUAAUAUGAAUGUUUAUCCCAAAGAUUUUAAGCACUCCUGAAUGUUAUCUCUUACAUCUAAGAAGAUAGGUAGUUCUCAGAAAAAAUCAAUUGCUUAGAAUGCCUUUUGCAUAGAACUGCUGCUAAUAUUUCUUUUUGCCAGUAAUAGAACUUAGACUCAUAUUAGGCAGUGCAAAGUAGUGGUUAAGUACUCAGACUUUGGAGUCUGCCAGACCUGAGCUCAAAUGCUAGCCCUGAUACUGGAAUCUUGUGUAAAUUACCAUAACUUGCCCAAAUCAUAGUUUGCUUAUACAGUAUCUAAAAAGGGGCUAAACUAUGUUGGAGAAAUGAAACUGUUGUUUACAGAUGCCAUGAUUGUGUGCUUAUAAAAUCUAAAAUAAUCUGCAAACUAUGGUAGGCUGAAAAAUGUACCUCCAACCCCACCUCCCACUCAGGAUAUCAGGUCCUAAUUUCUGGAAACUAUAGAUGCUACCUUAUUUGAAAAAAGCUUCUUGGCAAAUGUUGUGCCAAACCCCCGAUUUGCCUCAGUAGGGAAAGCACCAGGUUCACAAGGCCAAAGAAGAAACCCAGAUGUGGGGUUCUAUUAGGAGCUCACACACAGGGGAGAGAGUCCAGUGGCAGUGGGCUGGGCAGGAGACCUGCCUUACCUACAGCAAUGGUCCAGUGGCAGUGGACAGGACAGCAUAACCACAUGGCCUAGUGGCAGUGACCUGGGCAGGAGAACCACAACUUCCUUUCUAACUGUAAUAAAAUUAGAAAAGUUUGCCAAUGUUACAAAAUAAAGUCCAGAAAUAGACUCAUAUAUCUAAUUACCUGAUUUGUGAUUAAGGUAGUGCAUAGGAAAGAAGGCAUAGUUUGUUUAUUAAAUGUCGCUCCAUCAUGCGCUUUAUACAGCAUUUUCACUUAACAGCCUCCCUCUAAUGACCUCCACCUGGUAAUCUUUAUUUAACCCAAAACUCAAGGCCUCAGUCCCCUGUACAGAUCAGCCUGUGUCCCACAGGACUGGCCGGGGGGCUCUCAUGUUUGUGAUAGAAGAGGAAUGAAUCUCCAAGUUGGCCACUACUGGAUUCCCUAGCUCAGCACAAACAUUCAGGUGCACCUGCCACACAGGGUCAUUCUAAGAGUAUGUUUAAAUCAUUGCUAUUAGGUGCAUUUACCCUAUAGCAGAUGUAAUUAAGUUAGAGAUCUUGUGUUGGGGAGAUGAUCCUGGAUUAUUUGGGUGGGGCAUAAAGACCAUCACAUGUGUCCUUAUAUGACGGAGGCUGAAGUUGGUCAUACACACAGACAGAAGAGAAGGCCAUGUGAAGAUGGAGGCAGAGAUUGGAAUGAUGUGGUCACAAGGAAUGCUGGAGCCACCAGAAACUGGAAGAGGCAAGAAACAGAUUCUCCUCCAGAGCAUCUGGAAGGAGUAUGGCCCUGCUGACACCUUGAUUGUAGCCAAGAUUUUGGACUUCUGGCCUCUAGAGCUAUGAGAGAAUAAAUUUCUAUUGCUUUAAGCCAAUAAAUUUGUGCUAAUUUAUUGCAGGAGGCUUAGACAAUUAAUACACAAACUAUUAGAAUUAAUAAAUGUCAUUAGUAAAGUUGUUGGAUACAAGGUCAAUAUACAAAAAUCAACUGUAUUUCUAUCAGCAACUAACAAAUAAAAAUUAAAAUGUUAUAUUUAUAAUAGCAUCAAUAAACAUCAAAUUCCUAGGAUUAAAUAUAAUAAAUGAUGUACAACUUCAAAAUAUUAUUGAGAGAAAUUAAAAAUGACUUCAACAAAUAAAAAGAUAUAUUAUAUUCAUGAAUUGGAAACUCAACAUUGUCCUAAGAUGUCAUUUCUUCCCAGAUUAAUAUAUUGAU
rnacentral:lncRNA from 1 species